GGAAAAGAGAGCUGGAGGCGGCGGCGGCGGCGGCGGCGAAGGCACGUGAGUACGGUGACUUUAGGGGGCCAAAUUUCACGGGACGGACGGAGAGAGUGUGGGUCAAAUAUGGGAAUGUGCGUGAGUUGGAACGUUGGGUUAGGGCUAAAAUGCUCUGGCGUUUUGAAACGAGGGUACAAGAAUCACAAUGGAGAUGGGAGUGCAAAUUGCUCAGAAACCCACUGGACUGAAGUAUCAUAUAAGCCCCAAUAAACAAUUAAUUAUAACUAUGAUAUAGUUGUGGUGUACAACUCAAUAUGGAGAAGGAGAUGGCUAUAGAGCUGGAUGAGUUUGAGCCUGCAGAAUCCCACCGUCAUUAUUCCCAAGCAUUUCUUUGGCUUACUGAAAAGUAAAUGAAGUGAUUGAAAAGAUACAUAGAGUGAGAUCAUGGCAGAAGACUAAAGGGACUUGACUCAGCAUUGAGCCUUCAUGCGUAGUAAAAAUGGGUUAUUCCAGGGGUCUUCAAACUUGGCCCUUGUAUGACUUGUGGACUUCAACUCCCAGAAUUCCUCAGCCAGCGUGCGUGGGUUAUUCUAAGUCAGAGGCUGAUUCACAGAAGUACUCUGGUUACCAGAUGUCAAGCAAAAGGAGACCAUGUCCGCCUUUUUGUCCUCAGAUCCUCUGUCUGACAGGCAUAGCCUUAAAAUCAUAUAUUGUCUGGCUUCCUGAGUGUAUUUUGGGGUGACUGUUUCAAAAUAACAUUCAUUUAAAUUUUUAUGCAUUAUGACUUUAUAAUUGUUUGUUCUCCAGCACUGGAGAUGGAUAAUCCACGCAGUGAGUUGAGACUG